AAUCAACGCUGGCGGCGUGCCUCAGACAUGCAAGUCGAACGAUUAAAGCUCUCUUCGGAGAGUGCAUAGAGUGGCGCACGGGUGAGUAACACGUAAGUAAUCUACCUUCGAGUGGGGAAUAACGUCCGGAAACGGACGCUAAUACCGCAUAAUGCAGCGGCACCUAAUGGUGACAGUUGUUAAAGGAGCAAUCCGCUUGAAGAGGAGCUUGCGGCAGAUUAGCUAGUUGGUAAGGUAACGGCUUACCAAGGCUACGAUCUGUAACCGGUCUAAGAGGACGGUCGGUCACACUGACACUGAAUAACGGGUCAGACUCCUACGGGAGGCAGCA
rnacentral:rRNA from 1 species